rnacentral:rRNA from 1 species
UAGAUGACGGGCCGCACAAGCGGUGGAGCAUGUGGUUUAAUUCGAUGCAACGCGAAGAACCUUACCAGGUCUUGACAUCCCACGAAUUCAUCUGAAAGGAUGGAGUGCCUUCGGGAGCGUGGAGACAGGUGGUGCAUGGUUGUCGUCAGCUCGUGUCGUGAGAUGUUGGGUUAAGUCCCGCAACGAGCGCAACCCUUAUCCCCAGUUGCCAUCAGGUAAAGCUGGGAACUCUGGGGAGACUGCCGGUGAUAAACCGGAGAAGGCGGGGAUGACGUCAAGUCCUCAUGGCCCUUACAUCCCGGGCUACACACGUGCUACAAUGGCAGGUACAGAGGGCUGCGAAGCCGCGAGGUGGAGCGAAUCCCAGAAAACCUGUCUCAGUCCGGAUUGAAGUCUGCAACUCGACUUCAUGAAGGCGGAAUCGCUAGUAACCGCGAAUCAGCAGGUCGCGGUGAAUACGUUCCCGGGCCUU